CUCCCUCCAGCAUCUGGCUAUCACUAAUCUACUUUGCGUCUCUGAAGAUUUGCCUAUUCUGGACAUUUCAUAUAAAGAAAAUCAUACAAUAUGUGGUCUCUUGUGUCUGGCUUCU